CACGUAGGGUGCGAGCGUUGUCCGGAAUUAUUGGGCGUAAAGAGCUCGUAGGCGGUGUGUCGCGUCGGCCGUGAAAACCUGCAGCUUAACUGUGGGCGUGCGGUCGAUACGGGCAUCACUGGAGUUCGGCAGGGGAGACUGGAAUUCCUGGUGUAGCGGUGAAAUGCGCAGAUAUCAGGAGGAACACCGAUGGCGAAGGCAGGUCUCUGGGCCACUACUGACGCUGAGAAGCGAAAGCAUGGGGAGCGAACAGG
rnacentral:rRNA from 1 species